UGAUCUAUCAUAAGAGGUCAGGUUGUCC
rnacentral:piRNA from 1 species